UCUCCAUAAUGUCCUGCAUACUGCCUUAGUCACCAGGGACUUUACCUUUCAUUGCUGGAGCUAUCUACCCGCAGCAAGAGGCUGAUCUCUUCUGACUCUUUAAGUCUACAAGUCUGAGCUCCUCGGGGUUCACACCAUUUUACUAAUAUGGAAUGAGGCCUCUUAGUGCUUGAGACCCCUCCUACGUACUUCUAGAACCUUACACCUAGUGCCUUUUCUGUUGCUCAGAGAAGAAAAAUAAAUGUCCAGUGUUAGCAAGGAUGUCUUCUUGGAGAGUUGAAUAGGAAGAAUUCACUGAGGAACUUGAGAAAAUUCCUGAUAAUUGUCAGACUAAAACUAUGUUUGAUAUUUAGUUUUUAAUCCUCCUGACAUUACAAAACUGCCAAAUGUUUGACUGCUUUGUUUGAAGAUGAAAGAAAGCUAACAUUUAUGUUGCCCAUAGUGCUUUCUCAGAACUGAUGCUGGCAAAGAAGCAAUGAAAGAAAUCUGAUUUCCAAGAUACAGGAAAUCAGUACAGAUGGUGAACUAUUGCCCAGACUGUUAUGCAAACCAGUGAAGUUUUGCAUAAUCAACUGAUAUGAGACUGAGAGAAACAUAUCAAAAUAUGAGACAGGGAAAGGAGGAAGACUACAUUUUUGCUGCCUUUUUUCUUCUCUGAAGCUUACUUUAUUCUGUGAAGAGUAAGAGGUGUGGAUUUUGUGAAAUCCCUCCGUCCCACUCGUCAUGGAACAUGUUCGAAUCAGCCCAUAAACCACUGACACAGUGGUAGGAGAGUCCAGCCAAGAAUGGCAAUGUGCUCCAUGGUCUUCAAACUGGGAGAUUUGCAAAAAACUACUUUAUAUAUUGGAGUCUCUAGUCACAAUGCAACAUUUGUUCUGUGGGACUUAGGAUUGCUCUCAGAUUCUUUUUGCAUGUCUCAAUCACACUUUCUUCUCUUUGUUGAGGUAAGAAAUAAGAGUACAUAAUAUUUACUCUAAGAACAGAGAAAAACUGGACAUAUGGACCAAAAGGCAGACAGGAUGAAAGGCAUCAAUAAAGUCUAGCUCUCCUGACAUAUUGGCAAAUUCACAGUACAAGGAGAGAGAUGCCAGAGAAAGCUAAUUGUGUCAGCAGCAACCUGCUACAGCUAAAAUAAAAUCAACAAUAUUCUCAUUUUAUCCUAUUGCAAACAUGUAU